AGUGAACGCUGGCGGUAGGCCUAACACAUGCAAGUCGAACGGCAGCACAGUAAGAGCUUGCUCUUACGGGUGGCGAGUGGCGGACGGGUGAGGAAUACAUCGGAAUCUACUUUUUCGUGGGGGAUCACGUAGGGAAACUUACGCUAAUACCGCAUUCGACCUACGGGUGAAAGCAGGGGAUCUUCGGACCUUGCGCGAUUGAAUGAGCCGAUGUCGGAUUAGCUAGUUGGCGGGGUAAAGGCCCACCAAGGCGACGAUCCGUAGCUGGUCUGAGAGGAUGAUCAGCCACACUGGAACUGAGACACGGUCCAGACUCCUACGGGAGGCAGCAGUGGGGAAUAUUGGACAAUGGGCGCAAGCCUGAUCCAGCCAUACCGCGUGGGUGAAGAAGGCCUUCGGGUUGUAAAGCCCUUUUGUUGGGAAAGAAAAGCAGCAGGUUAAUACCCCGCUGUUCUGACGGUACCCAAAGAAUAAGCACCGGCUAACUUCGUG
rnacentral:rRNA from 1 species